AGCUGUAACCCUAGAUAACUACAUUAUACUGUGAACUAGGCGUGGUCCAAGCAAGGCCUGUUUGAUGGAAGCCCUCCAUGGCCCAUUGUUUCUCGGUGGCCCAGCAAACAUUUGUUUACCACACAUUUACCUUUUUUCAGUCUUCCUAAAGACCCCAUUCCUUCCCUUUGGAGACCCAGACCUUUGAAGACCCGGUUCUGCUUGGUUCAGAAUGACAUAUAUACUUCAUGCUGCCUGACUGUGUUUGGAAUUUCCAUCUCUAUGUGGAUGCUCCCCAGGUCUGUAACUAAAUAUGAUUUUUCUCCUGUUAAUCUGUUUCAUGUCAGUUUGAUUCUUUGUCUGGCUAGCAGGACCAUGAAGGGGACAGGAAUUCUUGCUUCCUGAGAGAACUGGCCACACUGCCAGAGGAGCUGAGACUGAAGAGGGGGUGUCUGACAGAAGCUGGAGCCUCGGGGGAGCCAUGGCCAGAGAGGCCGCCCAAUCGCCUCCCAGUGACUUUCAUCGGAGAGACUGGAGAAGAAAAUCUUUUCCUCUACCCUCUCAGGUAAUAAAAUCCCCAUGUGAGAGUUGCCCUCCCUGUACCCCAGGAGAAGACAUCCUUAUCACCAAAGACAAAGGGACACGGAGAAGCAUCUGAACAAAUAGGCCUUACUAAGUUUCCCCUGCUGUACUUACCCCAUACUCUUUUACCUGCCGUAUUUCUUUUUCUUUUUUUUUUUUUUGUUUUUUUUUCAACGUUUAUUUAUUUUUGGGACAGAGAGAGACAGAGCA